rnacentral:rRNA from 1 species
AUGGGCGCAGCCUGAUCGAGCGACGCCGCGUGUGCGAUGAAGGCCCUCGGGUUGUAAAGCACUGUCGAGGGGGAGAAAGCCGCAAGGUUGAUCGACUCCUGGAGGAAGCACGGGCUAAGUUCGUGCCAGCAGCCGCGGUAAGACGAACCGUGCGAACGUUAUUCGGAAUCACUGGGCUUAAAGGGCGCGUAGGCGGGUUGCCAAGUCGGAGGUGAAAUCCUGCAGCUCAACUGCAGAAGUGCCCCCGAUACUGGCGACCUCGAGUGAGGUAGGGGCAUGUGGAACUUCCGGUGGAGCGGUGAAAUGCGUAGAUAUCGGAAGGAACGCCGGUGGCGAAAGCGACGUACUGGACCUCAACUGACGCUGAGGCGCGAAAGCCAGGGGAGCGAACGGGAUUAGAUACCCCGGUAGUCCUGGCCCUAAACGAUGGGUACUAGGUAGUGGACUUACAUGGGUUCACUGCCGAAGCAAAAGUGUUAAGUACCCCGCCUGGGGAGUAUGGUCGCAAGGCUGAAACUCAAAGGAAUUGACGGGGGCUC